UGUACAAAGACUGUUGUCAUUCUUACCUUCUAAUUCAAGAUAAUUAAAUAGGGGCAGCUGUCAUACCCCAAUUUUGUCUGGGCAUAUUUAAAUUUUUGUAAAUCUGACUUCAUUUUUAAUUUGCAUCAUAUGCACAGCAUGACAUGCAUUUCAUCAUGAAUAAAAACUAAAAUAUCAGUCAGAAUAAAUUUUUUGAAAAUACAGACAAAUUAGUUAAAUCAUUUCUCAAGAACAUGUAAAAUCAGCGGGUAAAAAGUUUCAGAAUUAAAAUUACA
rnacentral:lncRNA from 1 species